CCCAGAUUUACAGGGCUGUUGCUCCAGCUGGGCGAUCGCAUAUCUUGCAAGAUGGCACUGCUGCUCUUGGAUUUUGGCACUGUUCGCCAGGAUGGCCCUGACGUCAUCUGUCUUUUACUGCUGGCCUCCCUGAGAGUCGAGGGAUCAUAUUGUUACCUGCAGAGUCCAUGCUGUUCUGUGAGCCGCUGCUGUCCUGAUUGCACACCACAGUUCCCUGAGAAUCUGAGGAAAAAUGGGAGGCCAUGGACUCGUGGUGCGAGCGUGAGUGCUUAUAACUGUAACUGUCUGUGGAAGAGUCUGUGCGUGUGUCGCUGGAGAUGGACGGCUCCCUCCCUGAAGAUACAACAACCACAAGGACACUGAUUUCAAUUCCUUCUUUCUCCUACCGGAGUCUUCGCUGUCAUAGCCGGCCUUGCUGCAGUGGUGCAGCUCCAGCUGAGCAGCGGGCAUGUCUUGCGAUGCCACAGGCGUCCCACGGGGGUCAGCAUAGAGCAGAAGCAGGGGCUGGUAAUGGCCCUUUAUACAACGCGAAACCACGUCUUUCCACUUGGGCCCAAUCUAUGUGGGGUGUGUGUGAGUGUGUGUCUUACAUCCCCCAGACGCAAGCAUGUGCCCAGGCUGUGGAUGACAUCCUCGGCCAGGUCCGAGUGGUCCGAGUCCCACACCAGGCCGAUGCUGAUGAUCUCAGGAGAAUUCAUCAGGACACGGCGAAUGCGCAACAUUUCUCCACAGUUACUCUGAGAGAGAGAGACAGAAGAGCUACUGUUUGACUUGAGUCCAAGACAAAAACCAGACGUUGGCUUUGUCAAUCUGUGUGCUUCAGUGAGUGAGAAAAGGAGAAAAGAGAUAGUCUUUGGAAAAUAGCUGCAAGUUCCAGAGAGGCCUUAUGUUCAGCACCCAAUGUUCUAGCGGUUUUCUUUGAGUCACUGCCCACCACUGAGCCGCUUGGCAGUGGAAAUGCGGAAACAGGAGGAGAAAACCCUGGCGAUCGGUGGCAUGGCCAGCCUGACCCGUGGCCACCGCAGCUCUGCUUUU